rnacentral:rRNA from 1 species
UACGUAGGGUGCGAGCGUUGUCCGGAAUUAUUGGGCGUAAAGGGCUCGUAGGCGGUCUGUCACGUCGGGAGUGAAAACACGGGGCUUAACCCCGUGCCUGCUUCCGAUACGGGCAGACUAGAGGUAUGCAGGGGAGAACGGAAUUCCUGGUGUAGCGGUGAAAUGCGCAGAUAUCAGGAGGAACACCAAUUGCGAAGGCAGCUCGCUGGGACGUAACUGACGCUGAGACGCGAAAGCGUGGGGAGCAAACAGG